GACGAACGCUGGCGGCGUGCUUAACACAUGCAAGUCGAACGGAAAGGCCCUGCUUUUGUGUGGUGCUCGAGUGGCGAACGGGUGAGUAGCACGUGAGUAACCUGCCCUUGACUUUGGGAUAUCUUCAGGAAACUGGUGCUAAUACCUGAUAGGAGCUCCUGCUGCUGGGUGGGGGUUGGAAAGUUUCGGCGGUUGGGGAUGGACUUGCGGGUCAUCAGCUUGUUGGUGGGGUAGUGGCUUACCAAGGCUUUGCUGGGUAGCCGGCCUGAGAGGGUUACCGGCCACAUUGGGACUGAGAUACGGCCCAGACUCCUACGGGAGGCAGCAGUGGGGAAUAUUGCACAAUGGGCGGAAGCCUGAUGCAGCAACGCCGCGUGCGGGAUGACGGCCUUCGGGUUGUAAACCGCUUUCGCCUGUGACGAAGCGUGAGUGACGGUAAUGGGUAAAGAAGCACCGGCUAACUACGUG
rnacentral:rRNA from 1 species